rnacentral:other from 1 species
GUUACCCUACCGUGUACGUGAAUUUAAGAUGGCGUUUUGAGCCAACACGAUAAAUAACGGGAGUCGGAGUUUGGCUGGUGAAACGAUAGCCUCCGGGCAAGGUUGAUCCACUGACAGACGCCCACCUGAGUAUUCAGGGUCAAAAACCGUCUAACACGGCACGGUGGGGAACA